AAAUUGAAGAGUUUGAUCAUGGCUCAGAUUGAACGCUGGCGGCAGGCCUAACACAUGCAAGUCGAACGGUAGCACAGAGAGCUUGCUCUUCGGGUGACGAGUGGCGGACGGGUGAGUAAUGUCUGGGAAACUGCCUGAUGGAGGGGGAUAACUACUGGAAACGGUAGCUAAUACCGCAUAACGUCGCAAGACCAAAGAGGGGGACCUUCGGGCCUCUUGCCAUCAGAUGUGCCCAGAUGGGAUUAGCUAGUAGGUGGGGUAACGGCUCACCUAGGCGACGAUCCCUAGCUGGUCUGAGAGGAUGACCAGCCACACUGGAACUGAGACACGGUCCAGACUCCUACGGGAGGCAGCAGUGGGGAAUAUUGCACAAUGGGCGCAAGCCUGAUGCAGCCAUGCCGCGUGUAUGAAGAAGGCCUUCGGGUUGUAAAGUACUUUCAGCGAGGAGGAAGGCGGUGAGGUUAAUAACCUCAUCGAUUGACGUUACUCGCAGAAGAAGCACCGGCUAACUCCGUGCCAGCAGCCGCGGUAAUACGGAGGGUGCAAGCGUUAAUCGGAAUUACUGGGCGUAAAGCGCACGCAGGCGGUCUGUCAAGUCGGAUGUGAAAUCCCCGGGCUCAACCUGGGAACUGCAUUCGAAACUGGCAGGCUAGAGUCUUGUAGAGGGGGGUAGAAUUCCAGGUGUAGCGGUGAAAUGCGUAGAGAUCUGGAGGAAUACCGGUGGCGAAGGCGGCCCCCUGGACAAAGACUGACGCUCAGGUGCGAAAGCGUGGGGAGCAAACAGGAUUAGAUACCCUGGUAGUCCACGCCGUAAACGAUGUCGACUUGGAGGUUGUGCCCUUGAGGCGUGGCUUCCGGAGCUAACGCGUUAAGUCGACCGCCUGGGGAGUACGGCCGCAAGGUUAAAACUCAAAUGAAUUGACGGGGGCCCGCACAAGCGGUGGAGCAUGUGGUUUAAUUCGAUGCAACGCGAAGAACCUUACCUACUCUUGACAUCCAGAGAACUUUCCAGAGAUGGAUUGGUGCCUUCGGGAACUCUGAGACAGGUGCUGCAUGGCUGUCGUCAGCUCGUGUUGUGAAAUGUUGGGUUAAGUCCCGCAACGAGCGCAACCCUUAUCCUUUGUUGCCAGCGGUCCGGCCGGGAACUCAAAGGAGACUGCCAGUGAUAAACUGGAGGAAGGUGGGGAUGACGUCAAGUCAUCAUGGCCCUUACGAGUAGGGCUACACACGUGCUACAAUGGCGCAUACAAAGAGAAGCGACCUCGCGAGAGCAAGCGGACCUCAUAAAGUGCGUCGUAGUCCGGAUUGGAGUCUGCAACUCGACUCCAUGAAGUCGGAAUCGCUAGUAAUCGUAGAUCAGAAUGCUACGGUGAAUACGUUCCCGGGCCUUGUACACACCGCCCGUCACACCAUGGGAGUGGGUUGCAAAAGAAGUAGGUAGCUUAACCUUCGGGAGGGCGCUUACCACUUUGUGAUUCAUGACUGGGGUGAAGUCGUAACAAGGUAACCGUAGGGGAACCUGCGGUUGGAUCACCUCCUUACCUUAAAGAA
rnacentral:rRNA from 1 species